rnacentral:rRNA from 1 species
UACGUAGGGGGUAAGCGUUGUCCGGAAUCAUUGGGCGUAAAGAGCGCGUAGGCGGUCCGGUAAGUCCGCUCUGAAAGUCCGGGGCUCAACCCCGGGAGGCGGGCGGAUACUGCCGGGCUAGAGUCCGGAAGAGGCGAGCGGAAUUCCUGGUGUAGCGGUGAAAUGCGCAGAUAUCAGGAGGAACACCGGUGGCGAAGGCGGAUCUCUGGGCCUUACCUGACGCUCAGGCGCGAAAGCUAGGGGAGCGAACUGG